rnacentral:misc_RNA from 1 species
AGCAAAGGAGAGAAGCAAGCAACGAAAAAGUCCGUCGCGCGUUUCACCCCCCGAAAAAUCGGAUUUUUUUCCCUUUUGGAUCCCUGCACACUGAUUCGACCAUUCCCUUGAAAGUCCCCUUCACGCCUCCGCCACUCUUGUUGUUCUGCAUCCUCUUCUACUAUAUGGUGACAUACCUUUGUUGAAGCCGACGAGCUGCCACGCCCCUCCCCCCUCCCACAAGCAACGUUCUUGUUCAUCUAGAAGUCUGCGCGGACGUCUGACGCUCUCCUACGAGGGUCGAAACGAAGCGCCUUCAAAGAGGGUACAAACACACUCGAAAAAAAAAACAAAAUCAAGUAGUGAAGGCGAAGACGAUCACAGAGAAGGAGGAGGAGAGAUCGGCGUACGCAUCGAAGUGCCUUGCGACUUGUUGCCCUUUCUUGCCCCGUCCCGACCCCCCCCCCCCCCACACACACACACACGCAUACAUCUUCUCCAGCCCACCUCAUUACUUCAAAAGGAGAAACAAAGAGAGAACAGAAAAGACAAGAACGAGAGAAAGUGAGAGAGGGACUUUUCUUGUCUACGGACAGCAGCCGUGCUGUGCUCCAUCGUCGUCAUCCCCGUUUUCGUUGUUCGUUGCUGUUUUUUUUUUUAUUCUGUCCGCCUUGCGUUGUGCGCCUUGGGGAGCUGUUCUUUGCUUUCCUUCCUUUGCAUUUUCUUCCUCGCGGCUCUCUCGCGGAAGCACCGCUUCUGUUGUUGUUGUUAUCUGCGGGGGAAGGGGCAGCCGUCUGUCUCGUUGCACCGGAGCCGGAAGAGAACACCACAGGUAGAGCUGCCAGUGGUGGUUGCGUUUCUGUGUUUGUGCUCUCAGCAUCGGCUUUCUCUCUCGUUUUCAUCCUUGACUCCCUCUCACUUUCUUUUUGCAUGUAUCUUGUGCACCCACCCUUCACUGCUCAGCAAUCUCCACCGGAAGACUGCGAGCCUCUUACCCGCUGGUACAUGCCUACCCCCCCCCCCCCCCCCACACCUCCCCCCUCCCGCCUGCUGACACUCCGCAUUUAAAAUGCGCAUUGAAGUGAAGUUUGGCUCUGCAAAGCACGACAUCGAGGUAGCGGAGGAUGCGACGCUUGGAACCCUCAAGGCAGCCAUCUACGAUGCCACCAAUGUCCUUCCCCCACUGCAGAAGCUGCUGGGCAAGCCAAACCUGCAAGCGAAGCCGGAUGACACGUUGUUGUCUGCCCUGGGGAUCAAGGAGAAGACGAAGCUGAUGCUCAUCGGGUCGGCGGCAGCGGAGGUGGUCAAGGCCAACGCGCCGUCGGCGGAGGAGAAAAAGAAGGAGGAGGAGCGAGAGCGCCGGCUGCGCAAUCUGCCCUACCGAUUUUGGCGCCUGCCCGCGUAUGGCGGCUUCCUGGCGGACCCGUAUGUGGGUGGCCGCGGCGAGCCCUUGGAGGGCGGCACGACGCUCCUGACACUGCUUUGCAUGGAUGUCAUUCUCUGCCGUCUCAAUACCUCGGCGCAGGCAGCAGGCCCAACCCGUCCGCCGCCAGCACGAAGCUGCUACAGGCGCUGGGCCAGAGGGGUGCCGCCGAAGUGUCUCACCCUUUUCUGCAGGACAUCUCUGUCGAUCUGCGCACCGCCAUACAGCGCGCACACGGCGCUAUCCGCUCCUGUUACGACUUCACGGUAGAGGCUAGCAAGGCGGUGCAGCCGGCGACCGUUCUGGGGUGGUGGACAGGUGCGUGCAUCGCAUCACAAGCCUGCCGACCGGGGAGUGGACGAUGAUCCCAUCUGGCUGGAUUGGCACUCAUUCGUACACCAUUAUGUUUCUUCUCGUGCACCGCAGGGCAGCUGAGGUGUUUGACUUUGUUGUCGUCAAUCGCGGCAGCGAAGGGCAGGGCUACCACCCGCGCUGGCAGACGGCGGAGAAGAUAUUGAGCUGCCCCAUUCUCAAGUUCCAGGACGUGUCAUCGACUCGGCUGCAGGACAAAACGUUUUGGCUGCUGCUGCUGUCGCUGUGGAUGCGGCGCAACGACCCGCAGAACCAGUCAGAGUUCAUCCGUGCUGAGGUGUUCUACGAUGUGUUGCUGCCGUGGCUGGUGGAGAAGCUGCCGGAGGGGCGACGCCACGAAGACGACGUGAACUCGAACAGGAGUGGCCAAGCCGGCUCCCUGCAUCUGACGACCACCCGCUUCACCACCGAGAUGAUUCUGCAGAUGACAGGCGGCGCAGCGGAUAGCGAGCAGCAGAUGUCGCCCUCGCCUGCGUCGUCGACCGACUCGCCAUUCACACCGUUCAUCCACCGUAAUGCGGCGAGCCCCAUCUGCAGCUCCUCCAGCGGCAUCAAAUCCGUCAUCACCGCCUUCUGCUAUAUCCUAGAGCAGUACUACCCUGCGUUGACGGCUCUUGAGAAGAAGCGCAUCAAGUACGUGCUCAAGUACGAGUUCUUUGCGCGGGCUGCCGAAGACCUCUCGCGCUACUCGCGCCGCUUUCUGACCGACUCGACUUCCCUGACAUGCGCCGACAGCGUCCAGACCGCGCCGACGGCAUCCAGAUCGCCGGCACCGAGCACCAAGGACGCGCAGCUGCGCGCUGCGCUUGGCCGCCUCAAGGCCGCCGGCAUCAACGACACGGCCGCCAACCUGUCCUUGGGCGCUGUUUGGCUGCGUCUCACAGACAAUCGGGUGUACAUCAAGGACAAGCAGAACAAGAUCUUGCCCGACACCGACUUCCGCGACAAGAUGGUGCUGUUGUUUGUCGGGAGCCUGAGGGUCCCGAGUGGCAAGGAGACGUCGACGCUGCUGGCGGAGGCAGUGACAGUGAUGAAGCAGAAGUGCGGCCCCGACGCCGUCGAGGUCAUCUUCCUCAGCUGCGACGAGACGCAGGAUGACUACGAGGAGCACUGCGCCCUCUUCGACUUUCCGCGUGCUACGUACCCGUGCGUUGAGGUGCUCAACGCGAUGGAGCUGGUCAAGGUACCGGAGCUUCUCGUCUUUCAGAGAGACGGAGAGCUGCUGCACCGGCAGGGCAUCUCAGCGCUUCAGUCCGACCCUGAGGCGGCUCAAUUCCCGGACGGUCCAUGGAAAGGCGCGGUCCCUCUUUCUGCCACAGACGUGCAGCUACUACGCGUUGGUGCGAGUCAGCUGGCGCACCACACGAAGAAGCGACUGGACCGCGGUCAGCCUCCGGUCGCUGACAGUGAUGCCGUGGUGCAACACGUUGUGGAGCUCGUGCACGCCGUCGAGGCAGUGGUUGACGCACUCCCGCAGGACGACGUGCAGGAGCUGAUUCAGGCAGCCAGCGAGGUGCGGACCAGCACGACAGCGAGCGCCGCAAGCGUCACGGGUGGCGCAUCCACAGCAUCGUCAUGCCCGCAGCGUACGGUGGACGCCAUGGUGCAGGAGCCCAUCGACGUUGCUCGCGAAGGUGUCUUCCAGAACGCUGAGCUCCUCCCCAAGGUCUCGGUCGCCGCUUACUACGGCCCAGCUUUCCAGUCGUCCGUUCCGUCCUUGCCUGACGUCCAUGGCCUGACCAAGGCGACAAACUACGCCGAGUUGUUCGCGCUCCUGCCGCGCGUGCGAAGCGUCGUGGAGACGCUGUGGAGGCGCGCCGGCAACAGCGGCACCGCCUCUCGCGUCGCCGUACAGCUGCAGAUUAUCGAGUUCAUCACGUGGAUCUUCUCCACGCUGAUCCCUGUGCCCCUGCCCGCGAGCUACACCAUCGAUGCCGUGCCGCAAGAGGAGCGGUGGUGUGUGUCUAGCUUCUAUACGGAGGACAUCAUUCCACCAGCGCUGCAGUCGCCCGUGGGAGAGGGAGGUGUGGUGCCGCACCCACAUGCCGCCGACCCGCAACUGACGAUGUUGGAGUGCGUGUACUACCUAAUGCUGUCGCUGGUGAAUGCCUGGCAGGCUGUCGAGACGCCGACGCGCAGCUUCGAUGCGGAGCGGUGUCUCAUUUCGAUGGACAUGCUGCUCGUCUUCGAUGCCAUUCUGCGGCAGGUGAAAGGUAGCGACAAGUGCCGCAUGAUUUCCAUGCUGCUGAACACCGGUGGCGGCUGCGGCUAUUUCCUUUCCACCACGCAGGGCAAGCAGAACAUCGCCUUUGCGUCCGUGGCAGCGGCACUGCAGCUGACUCGACCGCGCCUGCUCCCAAUUCGCUCCGCCAUGCUGCGGUACAUUGAGGAGCAGCAGAAGAUGCGACCCGGCCAUGAGCUGUUCGACCUGCGGAUGCCGGACAAGCUGGAGCUUUUCAAGGGCAGCCACACCGUCGACUUCCUUAAAUCAGUGCUGGCCAACGCAGGAUACUCACUGGAGCAGUCCGGGGGUCUCUUUGGCGGUGGCUCGUCGGAGAUGGAGAAGCUGAUGGAGUGGCUCUGCAGCAACCGCUCACCGCUGGCGAAGGAGCAUCCGGCAUUCGGAAUGAUGCGAGACAUGACGCUGCUGGCGAAGUUUAUGGGCACCAUGGAAAUGCGCGACGCACAGUUGCUGCACCGCCGCAAGGAGCUCGACGCACUCGCCUCGUGGCGCAUCUCGUUCGAGGAGGACGCACCAGGGCGGCAGAUGAGCGCCGGAUGGCGAACCCGCCCAGCACCGCCGCGGUGGGAGUGCCUAAUGGUGCGUGGGCGUGACAUGGACAUUGCCGACAUCGCCGUCAAGGGCUUUGGCGACCGCGAGGUCAUGUACGGCGAGGGCCUGGCGCUGCACUCGCCCAUCGACGUGUCACGAAUGAUUGAGGUGGACCACCCCACCGAGGACGACGUGCUGCACGCAAAGGUGCUGCCGACGUUUGCCGGCACGAUGAAUGUGGAAGAGUCGGAGGUGCUGCUGUCAUGCCUGACCGCGCCGUAUGUGCGGAUCCCGCUCGUCCUCGACUUCUUCGCUUCGCAGGACCGGCAUACAUACCUGUUUGUGUACGAAGUGCAAGAGGUGUUGCGUGCGGUGCUGUUCGAACCGGCUGCGUACGCCUCUCCGGCCGUGUUGAGCCACGCCGAUCCCCGUUCUGUCCCUAUGCGGCUGAGCAAGGAGCAGCGCGAGAUGGUGGAGCUGCGUCGGCUACGCGGCGACCUGAGCCAGCAAAACUACGAGGACUGCCUUGGAACCACGUAUGGGCUGCUUAUGAGCGAGCUGACGCACGCGCCGACCAGCGUGCUUCGUCCGCUGCGGAGCCUCUUGGAGAGCAUCACGGAGCUCGGCCCCAGCUCCGUGUACAGCAGCAAUGCCUCCUACGUCCUCUUUGUCGUCGGGCUGCUGUGUGAUGUGCUGUCCUUUUGCCGCUUCAUCGCCUACCAACAGCGGGAGCGGCAGGCGGAGGCCCCCCGCACGGCACCGGCUGCCUCGCCAAAGACGGAGGAAAGCGAGGAGGCGGCGGAGAGCCGCCGCAGCGAGGGCGCCUUGGGCGUCAUAGAGGAGUAUCACCGCCACUUUCUGCAAUUCUUUGUCGCCACGGUGCAGCCGUUGUUGUGGGCGUGGCUGGAGGAGAGUGAGGAGAACACCGACACGCCGACGCAGUGCGUCAUUCACGCCCACAUGAGUCGGGUGGACCGCGCGCUAUGGAAGGGGUACGACUCACUGUCGGCGUCGGCGGCGGCGGCGUCUUCUGGCGCGGGCGGUGGGCAGCAUGGCAGUUUUCGGUCCGGGGCAACCAGCGCCGCGCCUGCGGAGGACCCGCAUGCGCACCUGAUUCGCAUGCUCCGAUCGUAUGCGUUUGUGCGAGCACGCCACGGGUUUGGCAUGGGCAUGCAGCGCAGCCAGCUCGCGGCCCAAGAGGGAGACAGCUUGCUCACGCCGGAGGAAAAGAUGCUGCGCUUCCUGCAGGCACAGGGCUUGAACACGUCGCGCGUCUCCAAGGAGCUUCUUGAGCAGGGCAAGCAGCUUAUGAUGAGUGGCGGACGUCGCCGCGCUGUCUUUGUGCAGAUUCGCAGCCGCAACUACAACGACACGGUGCGCGUUCCGAACUUGAUACACAGCGACCCGAGCAGCACGACCGAGUCGAAGCUGCUGAAGCUGCCGCCAGCCGAUGUGCCGGAAAAUGUACUCUUCUGCGACCUGCUAGAGGAUCACCAUCUGAUCACGUCAUUUCUGGACGAGAUGACGCCGCAGCGGCGCGGCGCGGUGCUCUUGUCGAUCGUUCAGUCCGUUCUCCGCGACCACACCGAGUCUGCAGGUGAUGCGCCUGCCUCAGGAACACUGCAAGACCGCAGGCGCCUUCGCCGCAGCCGCUCCACGAGCGUGUCAGCCCGUGCAAGCGCCGUGAACCUGGAUGCUAUGAUGGACGACGAUGACGAGGACCACGCCCCUCACGAGCGCUGCUCGCAGCGCGAGGAAACGCCGCUGUGGUCCAUCUCGGCUCCUGGCGUCUACAAAGGGCCGGCGUCGAGCGGGCUCUUCUUCCAUGCUCAGACGUGCGAGUUGUUUUGGCGCAACGACGAGCUGAAGCCCGUCCCGGACAGCAUGUCGCACUUCACCGACUUUGAAAACAUCUUGGGCAAGGACACCUUGCAGUGUGGCCUGGUGAGUCGCCACGACACCGGCACUGGGUGCAUCUGGUGGGCACGCCGUACGACGUGAUUGAAUGGACGGCACCGCCGGACCUGUCCGAUCAAGGUGUGCAUCACCCGUUUGUAUUGCCGGCAACUGGCCAGCGGAGUCGGUCGAGAGCGCGCUUUUCGAGAGCGUCACCUACGACCGUGUCAUCGCUGUGGACGACGACAACCCGUGGCCGCACAAGGAGGAGCGGUGGGCUGUCAACAUGCUGCGAGACAUUCUGCGAGCCGCGUUCCCGAAUGGGAUGAGGUUCUACCCUCUGGCCCCUGCGCUGUCGACGGUGGCAGCCAGCGACGUCGGCAACGAGGAGGAGGGGGAGCGCCUGAUGGUGCCUGCGCUGCACCACUACGAGAUGCGCUUCCUCAUGAACGACGCCCCCCAGUACGAAAGCGACACCGAUCGGGCAACGUGGAAGGAGGCUGUAGCCUACCGUUACCCGCAGCCGCGCAUAGAAAUAUACAACCUCGUGCCGCACGCCCGCAAGCUGUACCGCUCGCUUGUCUACAGCACAAACCAGCACUACUGCUUGCACAGUAUGGCGCUGCUGACAGGGACACGCACGCGCGAGUCGCUGGCGGUCACGGCAUUUCAGGCCGGCGAACUGAAGAGGCGCAUCUUCAACGAAAGCACGCUGGAAAUCCACCGCUACAACGAGGCAAUCCGUGGUCGUGAGGUGUACAUUCCGGCAAGGCUGCUGCAGGGGCUGAUUCCGAGUGUGCUGCUGGAGUCGUUCUUUAUGUGGCAGGGCGAGGACGAUGUGCUGCGCGGGUACCCGCUCUCGGAGGAGAACGAGACUGCCUCCGUCCUGCCGGACGCCGCCGCGUCUGGGGCCGGAAAGCGCAAGCCAGCGCGGGGAGAGGUGAUGGACCACUGGUUCAACUACAGCAUCGAGGUUCACCUGCACUUGGGCCGACGUGGUAGCGGUGCAAUUGGUGAGGCUGCCUCAUCACCGGCAACAUCGUCGGCGUGUGUGGUGGUGCGCCGCAAUGACAAGGGCCACUCUGCCAUCGUUGAGGAGAAGCGGCGGCAUCGUCGGCUGACGCGGCAGCGGAUGCGGCGCGCACCAAGACCAUGGCGGAGGCGCAGGGUGCCGCGCACCGCCUCAUGCUGGAGCGCGCCACGAGCGGCGACGGCUCGAUGGAUCUGUCGACUGACGCUCUUCACGCAAACGAGGAAGACGAGAGCGGCGGUGACCCAAUACGGAUCGCUGACGCCGAUGUGGCGCUGCUUCACGAGGCACUUUCUCACCUCCCCAAGGGCGUGUGCAUGCAGCUGCUGCGGCAGGCUCGAGGCGACAUUGCGUCGGCGUUGACGUGGGCCUCCUCCGCUGCAAACGCAGAUGCACUGCUCGCCAUGGUGAAGAAGGAUGCGAAGGCCAGCGGCGAAGAGGGUGGCAGUAAGAGGCACCAACUAGCGCAGAUGGUAGCGAAGACACAGCGGGCAGUGGAGACGUGCGACUACGUGCUGGUGAACCUCUUGCAUUGUCGGAACCUCUCGUAUCUGCUGCAGAUGCUCACGCGCAUCGAGGACUGCUCUCAUAUUCUGGCGUGGGGCCGUCGCUGCUCAGCUGCGGGCAAGGCAAAGUGCGAUGCUGCUUCAGCGGACGAAGGUGCGGCGCACUCGCUGCGCGUGGAGGACACGACCGACACAGGAACUUAUGUCCAAAUAGAGCUAAUUGAGAUGCCGCGGCUGCGUGUCCGCUUCUACACGAGCACAGACGGCUCAAGCAGUCGCGCUCGACUGUUCCUGGCGGAUCAGCCGGGCUGGCGCCUCGCCGAGUGGGACGACUUCCACACGGCUCGCUGGCGGCAGCUGCGGGCGCUACAAGCGCCGUUUCAGCAGUGUCUUCUCCUUUGCAACAGCACGCGCGAGGUCGCCUUCUUGUGCCCGAACCACGACUUUGCGCCCAUGAAGAUCAGCGACGACCCGUUCAAUCCGAUGCUUCUCUUUGACCGCUCGUCCUACACGUGGAGGGAGGCGGUACCGUCCCCUUUCUACGUCUACGUCGUGCACAGUAGCAGCAGCUUCGUGAUGCCGCCGUCGCUGUCGGCGUCGCUCUACUAUGCCGUUAUGCAGUGUGCGACGCAGCACUACGCAGGCGCCAUGCGCACUCUCGAGUCCUGUUACACGGACAGCAGUUUCUCCACCGAGGAGGGGUUUAUGUUCGCGCUGUUCGAGCGCACCAUGGCGGAUCGCUUCCCCGACGCGUGCGCGGUUCGGCUGAAGCUGGCUCACGCGGUGCAGUACAGCUUGAACACCUACCAGUGGCCGCUGGCGACCGAGCUGUCGGAUUAUUUGAUGACGAAGCACCACGUGGCAGAGGACUGUCGACUGUCGCGCGGUGAGGUUCUAGACCUGCUCAAGCGCUGCGCGCAGGCGACCCCGAUGGUGCGCAGUCAGCUAGAGCUGUAUGCCGGGCUGAUGAAGCUGGAGCACAAGCAAUCAGGCAGGCCGGCAACGGUGCCGGUGGUUGUGCAAACUCCCGCGCUGGAGCGCUGCCGGUUUCCAUGGGAGCGGCUGCUGCUGUACCCGUGGGAACGCAUCGCACCACAGAAGCUAAAGCGCGUCUGCUACCAGCUGCAGAGCCCAGAGAUGGUCAAGGACGAAAAGCUUGUCGAGUUUCUGUGGACAGAUCAGCUGCUCAUGGAUGAGGAAGGUGGUGCAAACACCAAGAAGGGGUUUUACUUUCUCUACUGCAUGAAGCGGAACACAGUGGUGCCGACGAUUGGCGAGGAGCACGUCGGCGUCACCCUUUCGCAGCUGCUCGCCCGCUGGUUCCAGCUGCGGCACUCUCGUUGGGGACGCGAGGAGCAGCAGGGGAGUGAGACGGAGAUGGCACCGUCUUGGUGCAGCACGGUACUGCAGAUGAUGGAGAUGUUCCACACACGGACUGGCCCGCACCGGCGGACAACGCAGAGCGCUACAUCCUCGCCCGCGGCGUGUCGCUGACGGAGGAGUACGAAGCAAGCGAGCACUCCCAUGGGCUGAUCAUCGGGGACCAGGAGACCGCGGUGCGCCGGCGGCGCGGCACCAUUCCGGAGCUCUUCAACGCCAUUCACCGCGUGGCGCAGAAGCACUUCAAGACGGACCACAUUACCGAGGCAGUGCGCGAGGCGCGCCAGAUGAGUCGGCUGCGCACACCGGCGAGCCAGAAGGUGACCGUGCUUAUGAGGGACCACUUGCGUGGCCGCGUGGUGCCAGGCGACACAGGCCGCGAUCAGGUAGAGUUGAAUGAGGCGGACAUCUCAGUCGACUACUUCCAGAAUGACAACGCGGAGGGCGACUCUGCCGCGGCGGCCCUGCGCCGCUCUUCACUGCAGGCCCUUUGCACCGAGCCGCUGAGCUCGCUGCAGCUGGCCCAAAGUGUUAUCGCUGAGGGCGAGCCAGCUGCGCCGCCGGUGUCCCCGUCGGUGUCUGUGCUGCCUUUCGAUCUGCGAACUCAUCCUCUCUCUCGCACCCCGCUGGCGCAGAACAUGCUGGAUCGUCUGGAGGAGGACUCCAUGCGCUUCCGCAGCCAGCAGCAGGCUCAGCGGCCCCGCUACUUCCAGUGCCUCUCCAAGGACAUCGUGCGGGAGCUGUUGACCACCCCAGAUGUGGCGGUCAUGACAGCGUCUCUGGCGACGGCGGUGACGGUGCUGGGCGACUGUGUGCGGCAGCUGCGCGCGCUGGGAGAGCAGGACGCCGAUCGCGUCAUGCGUUUACGCUCGUCGCUGCUGUCUUUGGCGAAUGAUGUUCACCCAAGGUCGUCUACGGAGCCCUCUCACAGCAACAACGGCGUCUCUGCUGCUGGCGCACAGUCGCUUGAUCGCGGACGCCUGGUGCACUACCUGCAGCGAGCGGAACGUUCGCGUGUUGCCGUACCGCUUGAGUGGCUGUGUGCCGGCUUGCUGAGCACUACCCUCCAGAGCGACCUCAAGGCCGAGAACCUCUUUCACGGAUCCCUGCAGCAGAUUCAGGCGGAGCUCAUUCUUCUCAUGCUGCUAAGCAACCGCAUGUACUUUGCGGAGCAGGCAGCGCAGGCGGUGCAGCAGCUCCUCUUGUUCUUGGAGCUGUGCGGACACCUUCGCGGUGUCGUGCCUCCUCACGCGGAGAUGACAGCUUGUGGCAGCAAGAGCACUGUGCAGGCCCGCGCGGCACGCAUUCGUGAGCUGGUGCAGCACUUCUCGCUCGAGAUCGAUCCGUCUGUGCUCCAGCAGCUCACGACAGCAGCGCCAACCAUCACGAACGCAAGUACUGGCACAAGUGAUGCGGAGGCGACAGGUGCAUCGGACACGUGCGUCCCUCUUUCAGAGGACACUCGCCGGACCGUGACUAGCCGGCUGCAGCAGCUGGCGAACGCUGCUCUCGAUACGCUGACGGCACGUCGCACGUACGUCCACAUCCAUCCUGACUUUUCCUCCUCGGCGGCGUCGUCGAGUGCCGGGGGAGCGGCAGGCAAAGCAAGCAACAGCUCUUUCAGAGCAACCCUCGACCCCCGCUUUCUUGUCUUCGAGUUCCUUUUCAACAUUCUCCUGCGUGCCCGCCAGGUGGAGAUGGUGGAGUGGUUUGUGCGCAACAUCCGCGAAGGUCAGUCGCGUGUGCAGCAGAUGAUCAUGGGCCAAGGUAAGACCACUGUCGUGGGACCGCUGCUGGCCCUCAUCCUCGCCGAUGGGCAGCAGCUCAUCACACAGGUGAUGCCGACAGCGCUGCUGGAGCAGACGCGUGGCAUUCUGCGCCGCUGCUUCGGCGUCGUCGUGACGAAGCACAUCUACACGGUGCAGUUCGACCGUAGCAAUGAGGAGGGCACGAGCGAUGGAGUGGAGCUGCUCUAUCAGAAGCUGAAAUCUGCGGAGGAAGACCGCUCGGUGGUGAUCGCCGCACCUGAAUGUGUCAAGUCGCUCUUCCUGAAGGGGAUCGAGCAGCUGCACAUGAUGGAGAGCGUGCCCACGGAGGACAUGGAGCUGGACGAGGCGGCAGAUGACCGCUAUGCUUCUCACAUAAAGGCAUUGCGUCGCAAGAUGAUGGAGCGGUCUGCCCUGGCGGACGCCAUCACGCCGAUUCUGGAAUUGUGGAAGCGUGGUGUGCUGAUUAUGGACGAGGUCGAUGUACUCCUGCACCCCCUGCGCUCGGAGCUAAACUUCCCGAUCGGCCUCAAGCACCCCAUCGACAUGAGCGGCCCUCGUUGGCUGCUGCCUAUCCACCUUUUGGAUGGCAUCUUUGCGAGUCAGCAAGGGAGAGCGUGCGAGGACGUGCAGCGGCAGCUGGAGUGCGGCUCAUCUAGCCAGACUGCUAACUCGGCGCGCUUGGGUGGCUCGUCGCUGGCGGAGAUGAGGGGCGUUCAGGAGGAGAAGCGGCGGUACGCUCUGAGUGCCAUCCGCAGCGUCAUUCUCACCGGUUUCCGCCAGCGCGCCCUUCAGCGAGAGCCGCACUUGGUCUUGCUCGACCCCGGCCACUACUACGUCGAGCAGCUGCUGCCGGUGCUCGUGCCGUGGCUGCAGCUGUGGCUGCACGAGCAUCUGAUGGACCACCUUCCAGAGCAGGAGCGCCAGAACUGGGCCUACGUGUCCUCGGAUGCGUUUGCCGAGAAGACGAAGCCGUUCUUGCUCUCCCCGGUGAAACUCGACGACGCGGAAAGCUGCGUAUCUCGCGAGUUGAACGCGUACAUGCCUCACUACGGUCUGCAGCUGCUGAACCUCGCACACGACUGGCUUCAUCGCUUGCUGCCGCAUGUGCUCGCCAAGAUCGACCGGGUCAGCUUUGGCGUGUUGCAGCCGAACGAUCUGGCCCUCAGCGGUGAUUCAGCGCGGAUUCCGUACAGCCGAAAGAUGACGGCCGUCCCUUUCGUCGCGAAGGACGUGCCGAGCCGCAGCUCUGAGUUCGCGCAUCCGGAUGUGGUCAUCGGGCUUACAAUCCUUGCCUUUCGCUACGAGGGACUACGCCUGCAGGAUGUGAAGGAGCUCGUGACGCAGCUGAAACGCGACUUUGCGCGGCAGGCGGGGCCGAAGGAGCACCGCCCGGCGGCAAAGCUGUACAAGCACUGGCUGCGUCUGAGCUCCUCGGACCGCGCGGCCGCCGCGGCGGCCACCGAGAAGACCGUGGCAGAUGACAACGAGGACGUACUUCGCUCAUUCGAGCGCGCCGGUGUGCCGCUGUCGCAGCUGCAGGUGACGGACAAGGCGCAGAUGCAGUCGCUCUACCACCUGCUGCACGGCGUGCCGGAGGUGAUCCACUACUACCUGUGCUCUACUAUCUUUCCGCGAACGAUGAACUUUCAGCGACUGAAGAUCAGCGCCUGCGGCCACGAGCUCGGCUCCUCGAUGCUAUUCACAAAGAGGAUAGGCUUCAGUGGGACACCGAGCAACAUUCUGCCGCUGGACCUUGGUGAGUGCUUCUACGAACCUGGCAGUGACGGACGUGUGCUGUCGGUUCUCACGAACCCCGAGGUGGUCCAUGCCGAGGUGCUACCGGACAGCUGGACUCCGCUCCGGCUACUGGACCGCAUAGCCGCAGCGCAGCCGCCGUACUCGGCCCUCAUCGACGCUGGCGCUCUCAUCACGAACAUGGACAACGAGGAGGUGGCUCGCUACCUUCUGGCGCGGCUGCCAGCAGCUCUGUUCGAUGGCGUCGUCUUUCUUGACAGGCGGGAUCGGCAGAUGAUUCUGCAGCGAGACAACGGCCUCGUCAUCCCGGUCUCCCAGUGCGGUGUGCCGCUGGCUCGCCGCUUUACCUUCUUUGACCAGGUGCACACGACCGGCACGGAUGUGAAGCAGUCGUCCACAGCAGUUGCCGUCAUCACCUUUGGCAAGGAUCUCGUCUUACGCGAUUAUGCGCAGGGUGCGUAUCGCAUGCGUGGCAUCGGCAAAGGGCAGCGGCUGUGCUUGUAUCUGAUCCCCGAGGUGGUCUCCCGCAUUCAGGAGGCGUUGGGGUCUCGGUACCGCACUGGCGACAUGCUCAAGGACGUUCCAGCGUGGCUCCUCCUCAACUCCAUGAAGGUCGAGAGCCUGCAGUUCUUCAAGCUCUCCCUGCAGGAGCUGGCGAAUGUGUGGCGCAAGAAGGCGGUUGCGCACCUCUUGCACGAUGCUCGGCACGCGAACGCACAUCCAGAGCUCUUUACUGGGUGGAUGCGCUGCCGUCGCUUUCACCUGCCACGACCGGCAGCGGGCACCGGCGCCGCUGAAGCGGGCAAACACGCCAGCUCGGAAGAGGACGCAUCUGCUGCGAUCGCCGAUGCGGCGCUGAAGCUCCCCUCUGUCGACGUUCUCCGCGCUGCUAUUGCUGAGUUCAGGGAGGUGAUCGAAUACCCCGUUGCCGGAAAGAUUGCCCAGGCUCCCUCCUUCAGCGAGCACCUGCAGGAGAUUCUGCAGGCGCGCUCGCAGGAGCUGAUCGAAGGCGACGCCUUGUCGCAGGGGCUGGUGGAGCAGUUGCUUGACCGCAUGCGGCGCAGCAUUCAGGGUUCACGGGCGGCCGCCGAGGGAGGCAGUAGCGCCUCCGCCAAGGAAGCCAGCGGCAAGGGCGCCACUGGGGCUGGGCAAGAAGGGGUGCACAACACGAUGAACCUAAACGCGGAGAUCGUACACGAGCAGGAGGCGGAGCAGGAGCAGGAGCAGGAGGCGGAGCAGGAAGAACAGCGCAUCUCCGCAUUUUCGCGCGACGACGAGAGCCAGAUUGGGUGGGCAGUGGACACGCUCCGGACCUGCGGCACGAUCGCGGCAGACACGGUGCGACCCACACACGGCUGCUGCUUCUACCAGAUGAACACCUUCCAGAUUCGGCCCAGCCAGCCGAAGCUUCAGGUGCCAUCGCAGUACCUCGUGAGCGACAACUAUUUCAGGCUGGACUGGCAUGGCGUGGGAGAACGGCGGCUGAAGAACGUUUUCCUUUUUCUGGAGUGGGUGCCCAUCCCUGCCGCUCUUUCGGCGUCUCCCCCACAAGCCGCCACCGGCGGGUCGUCGUCCGAGGCGGCGACGAUGGUCUGCUCCGGCCUCCUCACUCUCGCGGAGGGCGAGUCCAUGCGUUGGCUCAUUCAUCACUCCCGCUACGUGCAGAGGAACUUCCGCCUGGCGCUGCGCUUCGCCUCGAGCGGCGCCUACAUGGAUGCCACCGGGCCCUUUUCGGCGGUCGUGCACCGCCAAGGCGUACAGGCACUGCGUCACAUGCAGUUGAGCUCGACCAGUUCGUGUGGCGGCGGCUACGAUGUGAGCACGUGCGACGCGGUGGCAGACAGAGCGGUGCUGCUCUACCGUUUCCUGAACAGCGACAUGUUCUAUUCCACCAAGCAGCUUGCCGUAUUGGAGGAGGUGCUAGAAGCGAUGUCGCCGUCCGACCGGCUGCACUUUUUCACGGAGUGUCUGCGGGUGCGCCGGCGCAGUCGCAACCACUGGGAGGAUGCCCCAAUCGCGAUGCUCUUUGUCUCUGAGGCUGAAAAGCCGUAUCUGCGCCAGCUGGCUGUCGGCAAGCGCAUGCAGCAGGGGAUGGAGGACAUGGCGGAGGUCGUGGUGCGUGCCGCGCGUCCGAAAGCGUCGGAGCGCGUGCGCCGCGAGGCGGAGCCGGUGCAGCGGGGCUUUGAGAGCUUCACUGUGGCUCUAUCUCAAGCGCUUUCCGCGUGCGGCGCCUCUGCUGCGUUUUCGGCAGAGCGUGUAGCGGAGAUGCUGACAGAGAGCUUUCCGGCUGUCUUCAAAACGCUCAGCGUGCAGGAGGUGGCACAGUCGCUCUUCUUCCUUGUGCAGCAGAAGCGCGGCGCAGUUGGCUGUUCCGCUGCGUCCGCGCCACCUGCAGCCGCCGCCUCGGCGGACCCAGCGAACUACAUCUCGGCCGAGGAGCUGUUCGCUGUGAUACCGCCCCUGAACGCAGAGGUGCUGCGCGAACGGGUCGAGGCUGCGCACGCGCCUCGCCCGGCUGCAGCUGCAGCGCAGCCCGCCAGUAUCGCUGUGUGGUCGUGUGACGCAUGCACAUUCCAGAACCCGAUCGCGAGCAACAUGUGCUCCAUGUGCAUGGCCCCGAAGCCAAAGUCUGUGGAGUAGCCGAGGAUGCGGCGAUGGCGGCUGCCGUCGAUGCCGCGGCCGGCGGGACUGGGGAGGAGGAUGAGGGCGAUGACGACGGUGCGGACGCGCCAUGGCAGUGUGGGGUGUGCACGUUUAUCAACGAAUCUCGCGCGAAGCCGAUGUGCGAGAUCUGCAUGGCGCCAAACCCGCGUCCACUGAAGGCGUCAGGUGGCGGACGCGCUGAGAGGUCUCCGUUUGGCGGCGGCUUCGAGUGCCCGGAGGGGUACUGGGUGUGCUCGGUGGAGCAUGGCGGCUGCAGCAAGUUCAAUCCCAAUGCUUUGUUCUACUGUCAGGUGUGUGAGAAGGCGCGGCCGAAUCUCGCCAGCGUUCGGUUUUGAUGGGAAGACGCAGGCGAAGCCACGAAGCGGACAAACAGAACAAUAACAAAAAAGGAGGCGGGAGAGGCCCCGCCCUCCCCAAAUGUUUCUUUGUUCCGUGCAGGGGAUGCUUUUGUGUGUGUGUGUGUGAGGAAGGGGGGGGGGCUCUGCUGUGAUGUCGUGCCCGUACGCUGAUGAUGCGCUUCUGCGUGCUGCGGCCUUCCUGUACCUUACCUUUUCUUGCUGUGCUCCGUGCCGUCUCUGACACGUCGUCGUUACGAGCGCACAUAAUGCUGCGGUGCGUCACUCCAAGACGCCGACCCUUUGAUUUUGUCCUCAAAUGGGGCCUCACCCUUCUCUCUCUGUGUAUGUGCUCUGGGCCUGUGUGACCAUGCUGGACGGUGAGGUGGCUAUGGCAAUGCCCCCACCCCUUUUGUUGUUGCAUCCGCCAAUGGGGCGCGCCGCUGUUGUGCCGAUCAGGGAAUGGCCUGACUUGUACUGUACUGCGUGGAGGGAGCCUUCAGGGCGACGGCCCCAAUACGAUCAUGUGUUUUGUGGCGACGGUUGUCUACCUCGCUUUUUGCCUCGUUCCGCUUUGGGUCGCCCCCCCCCUUUAUGCCUCUCCCUAUUCCGUCUACUUGCCGCCUCUUCCUCGCUUGUGUGCGAGUGACGGCCAACGGCGUGCACGUGUGCCUUACACGCACAACCGAACCGAG